rnacentral:rRNA from 1 species
GAUGAACGCUGGCGGCGUGCCUAAUACAUGCAAGUCGAGCGAACGGACGAGAAGCUUGCUUCUCUGAUGUUAGCGGCGGACGGGUGAGUAACACGUGGAUAACCUACCUAUAAGACUGGGAUAACUUCGGGAAACCGGAGCUAAUACCGGAUGAUAUUUUGAACCGCAUGGUUCAAAAGUGAAAGACGGUCUUGCUGUCACUUAUAGAUGGAUCCGCGCUGCAUUAGCUAGUUGGUAAGGUAACGGCUUACCAAGGCAACGAUGCAUAGCCGACCUGAGAGGGUGAUCGGCCACUCUGGAACUGAGACACGGUCCAGAUUCCUACGGGAGGCAGCAGUAGGGAAUCUUCCGCAAUGGGCGAAAGCCUGACGGAGCAACGCCGCGUGAGUGAUGAAGGUCUUCGGAUCGUAAAACUCUGUUAUUAGGGAAGAACAUAUGUGUAAGUAACUGUGCACAUCUUGACGGUACCUAAUCAGAAAGCCACGGCUAACUACG